rnacentral:tRNA from 1 species
GGGCGUGUAGCUCAGUUGGUUAGAGCAGGGGACUCAUAAUCCCUGGGUCCUGGGUUCGAAUCCCAGCGCGCCCA